rnacentral:rRNA from 1 species
UACGUAGGGGGCAAGCGUUAUCCGGAUUUAUUGGGCGUAAAGCGAGCGCAGGUGGUUUAUUAAGUCUGGCGUAAAAGGCAGUGGCUCAACCAUUGUAUGCAUUGGAAACUGGUAGACUUGAGUGCAGGAGAGGAGAGUGGAAUUCCAUGUGUAGCGGUGAAAUGCGUAGAUAUAUGGAGGAACACCGGUGGCGAAAGCGGCUCUCUGGCCUGUAACUGACACUGAGGCUCGAAAGCGUGGGGAGCAAACAGG